CUCGCCAGGGAACUACGAGCAUAAGCUUAAAACCUAAAGGACUUGGCGGUGCUUUAGACCCACCUAGAGGAGCCUGUUCUAUAACCGAUAACCCCCGUUAAACCUCACCUUCUUUUGUUAUUUCCGCCUAUAUACCGCCGUCGUCAGCUUACCCUAUAAAGGACUAUAAGUAAGCAAAAUCGAUACUUUCCAAAACGUCAGGUCGAGGUGUAGCAUAUAAGAAGGGAAGAAAUGGGCUACAUUUUCUAUUCAGAAAAAACGGAAAUUGCCAUGAAACAGCAUAUUUAAGGAGGAUUUAGCAGUAAGCAGAGAAUAGAGAGUUCC
rnacentral:rRNA from 1 species